AUGAAGAGGUCUUUGACUAAUAGGGGUUGUACACAUGCAAAAAGUCAGUAUCUUCACAUGAGGUGUGUGGCACAUAUUGUUAAUCUAGUGGUCCAAGAUGGGCUAAAGAUAAUGUGCCAUCCAAUAAACAGAAUUCGAAGUGCUAUCAAGUUUGUGAGAGCCUCCCCAACUAGAUUGGAUUUAUUUAAAAAGUGUGUGCAGCUUAGCAAGGUAGCGAGUAAAGGUUUGAUUAAUAUUGAUGUGGCUACUAGAUGGAACUCCACAUUUAUAAUGCUAGAGACUGCUGAGAAAUUUGAGAGGGCAUUUGAGCAAUAUGCACUUCAGGAUCCCAACUACAAGACUGAGUUAGAAAAAACUGGUCCAGAACCUAAGCCUGAUACUCCUGAUCAGCGGGGUCCUCCAACUCAAAGUGAUUGGGUGUAUGUUCGUGAGUUCAAACAAUUCCUCCAACACUUCUAUCUCCUCACUAAUAAGGUUUCUGGCACUAAGUACGUUACAGCCAACACCUUCUUGGAAGAUAUUGCUGAUGUACAUUUUAUGUUGGGUCAAUGGAGUGAUCAUGUGAUUUGUGGUGAUGAUGAAAUAUUUAAAUGCAUGGCUACCAAGAUGAAAACCAAGUAUGAGAAGUACUGGGGUGAUCCUGAAAAGAUGAACAAGUAUAUAUUCAUUGUUGCCAUCCUUGAUCCAAGUUGUCUUGUCUUAAUUCUUUAUGCAAGGACCAAGGAAUCUCAUUUCUUUAAAGAGAUGAUUGAAGACACCUUGAGGUCACGAUACAACCAGAAAAGAAUGAGAGUUUGCGGAGAGGGCAGCACUAGCACAAAUACCAGAACUGAAUUAGACAAGUACCUAGCUGAGGACACAGAAGAGUUGACUGCUGAAUUUGACCUUCUUGAAUGGUGGAAGUGCAAUGCUCCUCGCUUUCCCGUCCUUUCAAAAAUGGCUCGUGAUAUACUAGCAAUCCCCAUCUCUACGGUUGCUUCUGAAUCAGCUUUCAGCACUAGUGGUCGUAUUCUCGAUGACUUCAGAAGCUCUUUAACACCAGCAACACUGCAGUCGUUGAUAUGCACACAAGAUUGGUUGCGUUCUAAGUGUAUCAAUGUUGAAGCUGAUCUUGCUGAGUUGACCAGGCUGGAGGAAGAAGUGGGUGCCAUUCAUUUAAAUGAUAAUGUGACAAUAUCGAUUGAUUGA
rnacentral:rRNA from 1 species